GUACUCACUACAGCAGCACAUAUACUAAAAUUGGAAUGACACAGAGAAGAUUAGCAUGGCCCCCGCUCAAGGACAACAUGCAAAUGCGUGAAGCAGUCCGUAUUUUU
ensembl:snRNA U6 U6 spliceosomal RNA